GGUUGUAUGGUGUAAAGGCUAGCACGUUUGGUUUUGACAUGUUCUGAACCUCCAGAAGAUCUGGGUUCGAUUCCCAGUACGACCU